rnacentral:rRNA from 1 species
UACGUAGGGUGCGAGCGUUGUCCGGAAUUAUUGGGCGUAAAGGGCUCGUAGGCGGUUUGUCGCGUCGGGAGUGAAAACUCGGAGCUCAACUCCGAGCCUGCUUCCGAUACGGGCAGACUAGAGGUAGGCAGGGGAGAGCGGAACUCCUGGUGUAGCGGUGAAAUGCGCAGAUAUCAGGAGGAACACCGGUGGCGAAGGCGGGUCUCUGGGCCGAUAUCGACGCUGAGGAGCGAAAGCGUGGGGAGCGAACAGG